rnacentral:rRNA from 1 species
UUAAGUGAAUAAGGGCGCACGGAGGAUGCCUUGGCACUAGGAGUCGAAGAAGGACGCGACAAACGGCGAAACGCCUCGGGGAGCUGUAAGUGAGCAUUGAUCCGGGGGUAUCCGAAUGGGGAAACCCGCUAGUGGUUAUACGCUAGCACCAUAUGGUGAAUACAUAGCCAUAUAGGAGACAGACCCAGGGAACUGAAACAUCUAAGUACCUGGAGGAAAAGAAAGAAAAAUCGAUUCCCGUAGUAGCGGCGAGCGAAGUGGGAAGAGCCCAAACCGGAUUUAUCCGGGGUUGUAGGACCUUCAUAAUUGACAAAUCAUGAUAGCCGAAUGGUCUGGGAAGGCCAACCGUAGGGGGUGAGAGUCCCGUAGGUGAAAUUGUGAGAUGCAUGGAAGGAAUCCUGAGUACGGCGGGACACGUGGAAUCCCGUCGGAAUCAACGAGGACCAUCUCGUAAGGCUAAAUACUACCUAGUGACCGAUAGUGAACCAGUACCGUGAGGGAAAGGUGAAAAGAACCCCGGAAGGGGAGUGAAAGAGAACCUGAAACCGUGUGCCUACAAAUAGUCAGAGCCCGUUAAUGGGUGAUGGCGUGCCUUUUGUAGAAUGAACCGGCGAGUUACGAUAUCGUGCGAGGUUAAGCAGAAGAUGCGGAGCCGUAGCGAAAGCGAGUCUGAAUAGGGCGAAGAGUACGAUGUUGUAGACCCGAAACCGUGUGAGCUAGCCAUGAGCAGGCUGAAGGUCAGGUAACACUGACUGGAGGGCCGAACCAGGGCACGUUGAAAAGUGCUUGGAUGACUUGUGGCUAGGGGUGAAAUUCCAAUCGAACACGGAUAUAGCUGGUUCUCUCCGAAAUAGCUUUAGGGCUAGCCUCGAUGUUAAGUCUACUGGAGGUAGAGCACUGAAUGGGUGAUGGCCCCACCUCGGGGUACUGAUCUCAAUCAAACUCCGAAUGCCAGAUAGAUAUAAUCGGGAGUCAGACUGUGGGUGAUAAGGUCCAUGGUCAAAAGGGAAAGAGCCCAGACCGCCAGCUAAGGCCCCCAAGUGUCCGUUAAGUGGAAAAGGAUGUGGAGAUGCACAGACAACUAGGAGGUUGGCUUAGAAGCAGCCAUCCUUUAAAGAGUGCGUAAUAGCUCACUAGUCGAGUGACUCUGCGCCGAAAAUGUACCGGGGCUAAACGGACCGCCGAAGCUGCGGAUUGACUUUAGAGUCAGUGGUAGGAGAGCGUUCUAACAGCGGUGAAGCAGUACCGGAAGGAGCUGUGGAGCGGUUAGAAGUGAGAAUGCCGGUGUGAGUAGCGAAAGAUAGGUGAGAAUCCUAUCCAUCGAAAGCCUAAGGUUUCCAGGGGAAGGCUCGUCCGCCCUGGGUAAGUCGGGACCUAAGGUGAGGCCGAAAGGCGUAGCCGAUGGACAACAGGUUGAUAUUCCUGUACCACUUAUUAAACUGAUGGAGUGACGGAGAAGGCUAAGUUGAGCGUGUGAUUGGAUUCACGUGUAAGCAGUGAGGUGGUCAUGUAGGCAAAUCCGCAUGGCAUAACAUUGAGCUGUGAUGCCGAAGCCGAAUGGCGAAGUCAACUGACGUCACGCUUCCAAGAAAAGCUUCUAGGGUUAAUUUAAUAAGUGCCCGUACCGAUAACCGACACAGGUAGGCGAGGAGAGAAUCCUAAGAUGAGCGAGAGAACUCUUGUUAAGGAACUCGGCAAAAUGACCCCGUAACUUCGGGAGAAGGGGUGCUUGUGAAAGCAAGCCGCAGUGAAUAGGCCCAGGCGACUGUUUAUCAAAAACACAGGUCUCUGCUAAACCGCAAGGUGAUGUAUAGGGGCUGACGCCUGCCCGGUGCUGGAAGGUUAAGAGGAGAGGUUAGCGCAAGCGAAGCUUUGAAUUGAAGCCCCAGUAAACGGCGGCCGUAACUAUAACGGUCCUAAGGUAGCGAAAUUCCUUGUCGGGUAAGUUCCGACCCGCACGAAAGGCGUAACGAUCUGGGCGCUGUCUCAACAAGAGACUCGGUGAAAUCAUAGUACCUGUGAAGAUGCAGGUUACCCGCGACAGGACGGAAAGACCCCGUGGAGCUUUACUGUAGCUUGAUAUUGAGCACUGGUGGCACAUGUACAGGAUAGGUAGGAGACGAAGAAACCAGGACGCCAGUCUUGGUGGAGUCGCUGUUGGGAUACUACCCUUGUGUCACUGGGGUUCUAACCCGUGGCCCUUAUCGGGUCAGGGAACAGUGUCAGGUGGGCAGUUUGACUGGGGCGGUCGCCUCCCAA